GAUGCUGUGGCUUAAUUGGUUAAAGUACCCGUCUGAUAAACAGGAGAUGCUGGGUUUGAACCCCAGCAGUGCCU